CCUACGGGAGGCAGCAGUGGGGAAUAUUGCACAAUGGGGGAAACCCUUAUGCAGCGACGCCGCGUGAGUGAAGAAGUAUUUCGGUAUUUAAAGCUCUAUCAGCAGGGAAGAAAUAGCGACCUUUGGGUCGCCAGACGGUACCUGACUAAGAAGCCCCGGCUAACUACGUGCCAGCAGCCGCGGUAAUACGUAGUGGGCAAGCGUUAUCCGGAUUUAUUGGGUUUAAAGGGUGCGUAGGCGGAAGGUUAAGUCAGCGGUCAAAUGUCGGUGCGCAACACCGGCCUGCCGUUGAAACUGGUCUUCUUGAGUGAGCGAGAAGUAUGCGGAAUGCGUGGUGUAGCGGUGAAAUGCAUAGAUAUCACGCAGAACUCCGAUUGCGAAGGCAGCAUACCGGCGCUCAACUGACGCUGAGGCACGAAAGCGUGGGGAUCGAACAGGAUUAGAUACCCCAGUAGUC
rnacentral:rRNA from 1 species